UACGUAGGGUGCAAGCGUUAAUCGGAAUUACUGGGCGUAAAGCGUGCGCAGGCGGUUGUGCAAGACAGAUGUGAAAUCCCCGGGCUCAACCUGGGAACUGCAUUUGUGACUGCACGGCUGGAGUGCGGCAGAGGGGGAUGGAAUUCCGCGUGUAGCAGUGAAAUGCGUAGAUAUGCGGAGGAACACCGAUGGCGAAGGCAAUCCCCUGGGCCUGCACUGACGCUCAGGCACGAAAGCGUGGGGAGCAAACAGG
rnacentral:rRNA from 1 species